rnacentral:rRNA from 1 species
GACGAACGCUGGCGGCGUGCUUAACACAUGCAAGUCGAACGCUGAAGACCUGGCUUUUGUUGGGUUGGAUGAGUGGCGAACGGGUGAGUAACACGUGAGUAACCUGCCCUCUUCUUUGGGAUAACGCCCGGAAACGGGUGCUAAUACUGGAUAUUCACUGAUCUUCGCAUGGGGGUUGAUGGAAAGGUUUGUUCUGGUGGGGGAUGGGCUCGCGGCCUAUCAGCUUGUUGGUGGGGUGAUGGCCUACCAAGGCUUUGACGGGUAGCCGGCCUGAGAGGGUGACCGGUCACAUUGGGACUGAGAUACGGCCCAGACUCCUACGGGAGGCAGCAGUGGGGAAUAUAGCACAAUGGGCGAAAGCCUGAUGCAGCGACGCCGCGUGAGGGAUGGAGGCCUUCGGGUUGUAAACCUCUUUCGCUCAUGGUCAAGCCGCAACUGUGGGUUGUGGUGAGGGUAGUGGGUAAAGAAGCGCCGGCUAACUACGUG